GACGAACGCUGGCGGCGUGCUUAACACAUGCAAGUCGAACGAAGUGGCGAACGGGUGAGUAAUACGUGGGUAACCUGCCCUCCUUUUUGGGAUAAGCCUUGGAAACGGGGUCUAAUACCGAAUAAAGGGGGAUGGGCUCGCGGCCUAUCAGCUUUUUGGUGGGGUGAUGGCCUACCAAGGCGGUGACGGGUAGCCGGCCUGAGAGGGUGACCGGCCUCAUUGGGACUUGGGUACCGCCCAGACUCCUACCGGAAGCAGGAGUGGGGGAUUGUUCCCCAUUGGCGAAAGCCUGGUGCAGCGGCGCCGCGUGGGGGAUGGAGGCUUUCGGGUUGUAAACCUCUUUCGCUUUCGAACGGGUAGGUGGGGAAGAAGCGCCGGCUAACUACCUGCCAGCCGCCGCGGUAAUUC
rnacentral:rRNA from 1 species